CACAAGAAAGUAGUGGCUAAACCUUCCGCUUGCAGAAUGUUGGUGAGCCAGCUCAAAACGAACUUUUUUGUCAGCAAUUUGGCAUUUCAGAGGAGCCUUUAUACAAUCAAGGGGCUUUGAUGGGGCCUGCAUAACCACACACUAAAAAUAUGAAUUUAGAAUACUCGGGCGGAACCAUUCAUCACCAUCAACUCAGUGAAGAGAGAAGCAAAGAAUAUAGAAAGUAGGCAAUCCCGUUAUAGUGAUCGAUUCAUUGUAGAGUUUGGGGAGCUUCAAUGUGGAUGUGAUUAUUUUUAAUUAUCUAGUUAACUUGAAUGUUCGCCCUCCUGAUCUAUCUGUUAUCAGAUAUUAACUUUACCUCAAAUGAAUGACAAUAAAG
rnacentral:misc_RNA from 1 species